GACGAACGCUGGCGGCGUGCUUAACACAUGCAAGUCGAACGGAAAGGCCCUGCUUUUGUGGGGUGCUCGAGUGGCGAACGGGUGAGUAACACGUGAGUAACCUGCCCUUGACUUUGGGAUAACUUCAGGAAACUGGGGCUAAUACCGGAUAGGAGCUCCUGCUGCAUGGUGGGGGUUGGAAAGUUUCGGCGGUUGGGGAUGGACUCGCGGGUUAUCAGCUUGUUGGUGGGGUAGUGGCUCACCAAGGCGUUGACGGGUAGCCGGCCUGAGAGGGUGACCGGCCACAUUGGGACUGAGAUACGGCCCAGAGUCCUACGGGGGGCAGCGGUGGGGAAUAUUGCACAAUGGGCGGAAGCCUGAUGCAGCAACGCCGCGUGCGGGAUGACGGCCUUCGGGUUGUAAACCGCUUUCGCCUGUGACGAAGCGUGAGUGACGGUAAUGGGUAAAGAAGCACCGGCUAACUACGUG
rnacentral:rRNA from 1 species